rnacentral:rRNA from 1 species
GACGAACGCUGGCGGCGUGCUUAACACAUGCAAGUCGAACGGUGACGGAGAGCUUGCUCUCCUGAUCAGUGGCGAACGGGUGAGUAACACGUGGGCAACCUGCCCAGACUUCGGGAUAACGCUUCGAAAGAGGUGCUAAUACCGAAUACGAACGCCGUGGGCAUCCACGGUGUUGGAAAGUUUUUCGGUCUGGGAUGGGCCCGCGGCCUAUCAGCUUGUUGGUGAGGUAAUGGCUCACCAAGGCGACGACGGGUAGCCGGCCUGAGAGGGCGACCGGCCACACUGGGACUGAGACACGGCCCAGACUCCUACGGGAGGCAGCAGUGGGGAAUAUUGCGUAAUGGGCGAAAGCCUGACGCAGCAACGCCGCGUGGGGGA